AACAUCGCCUUUUGAAAGAAUAGAAGGUCUAACCUGCCCACUGAAUAAGUUAAAGGGCCGCGGUAUUUUGACCGUGCAAAGGUAGCAUAAUCAUUAGUCUUCUAAUUAAAGGCUGGAAUGAAUGGUUGGACGAGGUUCUAGCUGUCUCACUAAAAUAAAUUUGAAUUUAGCUUUUUAGUCAAAAGGCUAAAAUAUAGUUGGAGGACGAGAAGACCCUAUAGAGCUUUACGUUGGACUUUUUUAACUUGUUUAGGAUGAUUCUAGUUUUAAAGGAUAAGCGUUUCGUUGGGGUGACGGGGAGAUAAAAUAAACUCUUUUUAAUUUUUAACAUUGAUGUAUGAAUUAG
rnacentral:rRNA from 1 species